rnacentral:misc_RNA from 1 species
UGCCAGUGAUCGGGCGUGGCAAUAUGGACUGCAUCGAUGUCGGUCCGCGCGAGGAUCUCCCGGAAGUCGGUGUACUCUUUGCAAUCGCUGUUCUUGUAAUGGUUAUCCACGCGCUGCUUGGCCGUGUCGCGAAAACCUUUUCGCACGUCGCAGACUGCGACGUACUGAACAUCUCCGCGGCCGAGAAAUACUCCCUGGUCGCCUCGUCCCUGGUUGCCCAGCCCAAUGCCGGCCAUGACGAUUCGGUCACUCGCUGGCGGCCGAGUCUC